CAGCCGCCGCGGUAAUACGUAGGUGGCAAGCGUUGUCCGGAAUUAUUGGGCGUAAAGGGCUCGCAGGCGGUUUCUUAAGUCUGAUGUGAAAGCCCCCGGCUCAACCGGGGAGGGUCAUUGGAAACUGGGAAACUUGAGUGCAGAAGAGGAGAGUGGAAUUCCACGUGUAGCGGUGAAAUGCGUAGAGAUGUGGAGGAACACCAGUGGCGAAGGCGACUCUCUGGUCUGUAACUGACGCUGAGGAGCGAGAGCGUGGGGAGCGAACAGGAUUAGAUACCCCUGUAGUCCCUGUCUCUUAUAC
rnacentral:rRNA from 1 species